UCUGUACUUUGUUGUUGAAGAGCUCAAGGUUACUACUGUUGGCAGCUAGUCAAAUUUUAAAAUGUAACCAUUUGAACAAGAAAAAAGGGACACUUUAAAAUUUUAACAGCUGAAGACAAGUUUGUUAUAGAAGGUUUAUAGUAAGUGAGAUGGAGGAAAAAUAUUUAAAAAGCUAUAAGUAGAAGAGAUAUACUUUUGAUAUGAAAGGAUUUUGUAUGUUUGUCUUCUUAAAAGGAUAAAGAGACAGGACCAAAAAGCCUAGUGCUUUCCAGCUCAGAAUGUGGUCAGGCGUGAAGGUCAUGGCUGAAAUGGGAGAGGUUAAGAUAAUGAAGCUGGGGAUCCUCUGUUAGGGCCCCACCAUUCCAGAGGUGAGGAGAAGUCACACAGGAGCAGGAGGCUGGAGGAACACUCUGCUCCCCUCCCAGGAGCUGAUGUCACCCGCUCUCAUCAUCCCGAGGUCCCUAGGAACUAAUAAGAAAGCAAAGAAGGCCUGCUCAGCCUGACAAAGCCAAGAUGAUCCAUCUCAGCAAAGGAGCUUCUCAUGACUUUAGAGGAACCACCACUGUGGAUGAUCUCUUCCAUUCUAUGUUCCCUCCACAGUCUACAAAAUCUUCCUGAGCUUCGCUGGCCCUUCAGACUUAUGGUGUCCUUCCGUAGACCUGCCAGAAGGAUCAACUUGAGAACUGACAAAUCUUCAUUCUGGGACUUUCUACAACCCUUACAACAAGAUAAGAACUGUCUGUGGAAGUGUUUCUCCUAAUUUGCAACAUUUUUCAAAUUUAUGAAAUUUUCUCAUUUCAUUAUACCAAGAAGAGGCCAAGGGAGGACGUGAUCGCCACGAUUCCCAGUUCUCAGGGCCUUUCCUGAGGACAGCUUUGUCGGCAUCAUUCUGUCCUUGGGCCUGGACUGGAGAAGGGAAACGCCUACCCCGUCCAGGGGUGAUGUGCAUGAGGAACUAUUACAGUGGCAAUCACAGCCUCUCCAGAUUUCCAGAGUGCAAAUGUAACUUUUCAAAAAUGUAAAAGUAAAUACCAAUAUUGUCAAUGUCAGUAUUUAUUAUCUUUCUAAUAGGGAGAUGUGUGAAGCAGUUAGUUGUGUCUAUUAAAAAAUUAAAUUAAACAAACUCAUCUUAAUCAAUGAAUGCAAAUUGACUACUUAUUUAAAAUUGAUUUAAUAUUAACAAAUUACAAAUUGUUAUUUUUGAAAAAUUAGGAUAAUUUACAGAAAUAACUCUCUGCUUUGUAAAUAUGACUAGUAAUUUGCUUCAGAUAUUUUAACUUCUUUUUCUAUGUAGCAUCUAUGGUUUCUGAAGCAUGAAAGGAAUGAAUUAAAAAAUAUAAACCCAGGGCCUAAAGAUUAGUUUGAAGGAUGCAUUUUGAAGGUAAAGGACACAGAAUUUUAAUCCUAGCUCUGUUAUUAUCUAGAAGUGUGGUAUUUGGCCUAAGUCUCCCUCCUUAUCUUUAAAUGGGCUUAAUGACAUCUACUUUGUCAUAAUUAAGUAGAAUUGUGCAUUUUUAAAAAGUCUAAAAUAAUGUUGGUCACAUUGAAGCACCUCAUAAAUGAUCUUUAGCAUUAGUAUAAUACAAUCUUAAAAUAAAUUUACAUAAAUAUUGUAGUGGGUGUAAAAAAAGCAAUACAUUUUGUAAGUACAUUACAUUAAUAUGCAAAUAAAAAGAC
rnacentral:lncRNA from 1 species